rnacentral:rRNA from 1 species
GACGAACGCUGGCGGCGUGCCUAAUACAUGCAAGUCGAGCGGACGAAUCGAAAGCUUGCUUUUGAUUCGUUAGCGGCGGACGGGUGAGUAACACGUGGGCAACCUGCCCUGUAGACGGGGAUAACACCGAGAAAUCGGUGCUAAUACCGGAUAACACGAAAUGUCGCAUGACGUUUCGCUGAAAGACGGCGCAAGCUGUCGCUACAGGAUGGGCCCGCGGCGCAUUAGCUAGUUGGUGAGGUAACGGCUCACCAAGGCGACGAUGCGUAGCCGACCUGAGAGGGUGACCGGCCACAUUGGGACUGAGAUACGGCCCAGACUCCUACGGGAGGCAGCAGUGGGGAAUAUUGCACAAUGGGCGGAAGCCUGAUGCAGCAACGCCGCGUGCGGGAUGACGGCCUUCGGGUUGUAAACCGCUUUCGCCUGUGACGAAGCGUGAGUGACGGUAAUGGGUAAAGAAGCACCGGCUAACUACGUG